UAGAGACGGAUAGCAACCACGUGAUCAGUAAAAAUCGUGUAUAUUCACGUGAAUUUAUUUUCCGGAAUUCCGUACACCGUCAUAGAGUAGUUGAAAAACAUAAAGGGGUUCCGAAAGUACAAGUUGUUGCUGUGACUGACUCGAUGAUUGAGGGGGUCGUCUCGACGAAAGAUAGAGACAGUUGGCCAUAGUUUAGAUUAGGAAUACGUCAAUGUAAUAAUAGUGGACCAAAUGUUUCGUCCGUGCAGAAUGGCACUUUUUACCUCACGACCAUGCAUAGCUGCGCUACGUAAACAAUUUUACAAAGUUGUUGAUGUAGCGUGAUCGUGAUGUCUGACUCCGAGUGCUGCGAGUUUCAAUACUGUUUAUGUAGUCAUUGAGAGUUUAAACAAAGUUUCUUCUGAGAAGAGGGAUUCGAUGGAUGCAUUCAACGUGGACAACGAGAUUAUAAUUUCGUUUGUGUCAUCCUAAGGACCAGUGCAAGUUGAAAUGGGCUUCGAGUCAACAACUUCAACAGCAAUUUGCCUUGAAAAUCAGCAAGAAAGGUACUUCAUUUACAUUGAUGAUGUCAUAUCCCCUGGACCCCACAACUUUACAGGUUACAGAGAAAAUUCAAGAACUUCUGCACAAUGUGGGACUUGGAUAGAAUCAAUAAUGUAUUUGUGAGCCCAGAUAUAUUGUGCAUUGGCAGUGCAACAUACUAAAGUGUGAAUUUAAUUGAAAACAAGUACAUGUACUCAUGUAUACUAUUAUAUGUCUUUCUUAAAGACAAUAAUAUUGCAUAAAUGUAGAUGAAGUGUCAUUGUUGAUUAUUCUAAGUUUUUGAUAUAUCAAAAUCAGUAAACAUUUCUAAAUGAAAAUAAAAUACCAAUUUUAUAAUUUUUAA